GAGUUUUUGAUGUCGCAGAUACUGCAUCAGGAACUGAUUGGAUAAUAAUCAGUCACCAUCGGUUCCUAAUGCAUUGCCUUCAGCAUCUAAACA
rnacentral:pre_miRNA from 1 species